CUCAGGACGAACGCUGGCGGCGUGCCUAACACAUGCAAGUCGAGCGGGGACAUGCGACGGAUAGGAAGUUUCGGAUGGAAUUGAAGAUGUAUGUUCUAGCGGCGGACGGGUGAGUAACGCGUGAGCAACCUGUCCUUCACAGGGGGAUAACACAGCGAAAGUUGUACUAAUACCGCAUAAGACCACAUUGGGACAUCCCAGAGGGGUCAAAGGAGCAAUCCGGUGAAGGGUGGGCUCGCGUCCGAUUAGAUAGUUGGUGAGGUAACGGCCCACCAAGUCGACGAUCGGUAGCCGACCUGAGAGGGUGAUCGGCCACAUUGGGACUGAGACACGGCCCAAACUCCUACGGGAGGCAGCAGUGGGGAAUAUUGGGCAAUGGGGGGAACCCUGACCCAGCAACGCCGCGUGAGGGAAGAAGGUUUUCGGAUCGUAAACCUCUGUCCCAGAUGAAGAGGAAGAGACGGUAAUCUGGGAGGAAGCCCCGGCUAACUACGUGCCAGCCGCAGC
rnacentral:rRNA from 1 species